AACGAACGCUGGCGGCAUGCCUAACACAUGCAAGUCGAACGAGACCUUCGGGUCUAGUGGCGCACGGGUGCGUAACGCGUGGGAACCUGCCCUUAGGGUCGGAAUAACUCCCCGAAAGGGGUGCUAAUACCGGAUAAUGUCUUCGGACCAAAGAUUUAUCGCCUUUGGAUGUUCCCGCGUUGGAUUAGCUAGUUGGUAGGGUAAAAGCCUACCAAGGCGACGAUCCAUAGCUGGUCUGAGAGGAUGAUCAGCCACACUGGGACUGAGACACGGCCCAGACUCCUACGGGAGGCAGCAGUGGGGAAUAUUGGACCAUGGGCGAAAGCAUGAUCCAGCAAUGCCGCGUGAGUGAUGAAGGCCUUAGGGUUGUAAAGCUCUUUUACCCGGGAUGAUAAUGACAGUACCGGGAGAAUAAGCUCCGGCUAACUCCGUG
rnacentral:rRNA from 1 species